rnacentral:misc_RNA from 1 species
GGAAUAAAAGUCGUAACAAGGUUUCCGUAGGUGAACCUGCGGAAGGAUCAUUACAGAGUUCAUGCCCUCACGGGUAGAUCUCCCACCCUUGAAUAUUUAUACCUUAGUUGCUUUGGCAGGCCGUGGAAACACCAUGGGCUCCGGCUUAUGCGUGCCUGCCAGAGGAAACAAACUCUGUUUUUAGUGAUGUCUGAGUACUAUAUAAUAGUUAAAACUUUCAACAACGGAUCUCUUGGUUCUG